rnacentral:lncRNA from 1 species
AAUGCGGGGCUCUCCGGGAGAAAGUAAUUACGAGAACCUAAUGUUAGAGUUAGUAAAUUCUUUAACCCGAAAGAGAAGAGAGAGUAGAACCCAGAGUAUAGGAAAGGAGUAGAAGAUACUAAUACCACCCAAUUGAGACGUGGGCUCGUAAGCCACAACAUGAGUGUUAGUAAAGUUUUUCAAACACUAGACUCAACUUCGGCCAAGGAGUUGGAAAGGGGGCUACCUCCAGGGAGUCGGCUCUGAUACCAACUUGUGAUGCCCUCGGUUUAAUCGUACGUUAAUCAUACGCCCAAAUGCGUACGAUCAAACUCAAGGACUCACGGGAAGAUAUCA